UUUCAGCCCCGGUCGGGCAGCCACCUUUCGGUGACCACCACAAUGGGGCCAAUCCAAGGACCUUACUAAACCAUUCAAUCGGUAGUAGCGACGGGCGGUGUGUACAAAGGGCAGGGACGUAAUCAGCGCAAGCUUAUGACUUGCACUUACUAGGAAUUCCUCGUUCACGGGGAACAAUUCCAAGCCCCGAUCCCUGUCAUGACGGUGAUUGACCAGUUUGCCCAACCCUUUCGGGCCAGAAGGUCAGACUCAUUGCCACCGUCAUUGUAGCGCGCGUGCGGCCCCGGACAUCU
rnacentral:rRNA from 1 species